rnacentral:siRNA from 1 species
CCAUCGGACUUGACCGAAGAAG